CCUACGGGCGGCUGCAGUGAGGAAUAUUGGUCAAUGGGCGCGAGCCUGAACCAGCCAAGUAGCGUGAAGGAUGACUGCCCUACGGGUUGUAAACUUCGUUUAUAAAGGAAUAAAGUGAGGCACGUGAGCCUUUUUGUAUGUACUUUAUGAAUAAGGAUCGGCUAACUCCGUGCCAGCAGCCGAGGUAAUACGGAGGAUCCGAGCGUUAUCCGGAUUUAUUGGGUUUAAAGGGAGCGUAGAUGGGUUGUUAAGGAAGUUGUGAAAGUUUGCGGCUCAACCGUAAAAUUGCAAUUGAUACUGGCAGUCUAGAGUACAGUAGAGGUAGGCGGAAUUCGGGGUGUAGCGGUGAAAUGCGUAGAUAUCACGAAGAACUCCGAUUGCGAAGGCAGCUUACUAAACUGCCACUGACAUUGAUGCUCGAAAGUGUGGGUAUCAAACAGGAUUAGAUACCCCAGUAGUC
rnacentral:rRNA from 1 species